rnacentral:rRNA from 1 species
GACAGAGGUGCCAAGCGUUAGGCGGAAUCACUGGGCUUAAAGCGUGUGUAGGCGGGCGGGCAAGUACCUUGUGAAAUCCCACGGCUCAACCGUGGAACGGCUGGGUAUACUGCCUGUCUUGAGCCAGCUAGGGGCGACCGGAACAGACGGUGGGAGCGGAUGAAAUGCGUAGAUAUCGUCUGGAACGCCAAAGGUGAAAACAGGUCGCUGGGGCUGAGCUGACGCUGAGACACGAAAGCCAGGGGAGCGAACGGG